rnacentral:rRNA from 1 species
UACGUAGGGUCCAAGCGUUAUCCGGAAUCACUGGGCGUAAAGCGUGCGUAGGCGGCGUGUUAAGUGAGAUGUUAAAUCGUGUGGCUCAACCAUAUCGAUGCAUCUCAUACUGGCAUGCUAGAGGAAGGCAGAGGCAAGUGGAAUUGGUAGUGUAGCAGUGAAAUGCGUAGAUAUUACCAGGAACACCAAUGGCGAAGGCAGCCUGCUGGGCCUUUUCUGACGCUGAGGUACGAAAGCGUGGGGAGCGAACAGG